AAUAGAUACCCUGGUAGUCCACGCUGUAAACGAUGGGCACUAGGUGUGGGGGGUGUCGACUCCCUCCGUGCCGAAGCUAACGCAUUAAGUGCCCCGCCUGGGGAGUACGGCCGCAAGGCUAAAAACUCAAAGGAAUUGACGGGGGGCCCGCACAAGCAGCGGAGCAUGUGGUUUAAUUCGACGCAACGCGAAGAACCUUACCUGGGCUUGACAUGUCCCUGACCGCCCUGGAAACAGGGUUUCCCUUCGGGGCAGGAUCACAGGUGGUGCAUGGCUGUCGUCAGCUCGUGUCGUGAGAUGUUGGGUUAAGUCCCGCAACGAGCGCAACCCCCGUCGCAUGUUGCCAGCAUUUAGUUGGGGACUCAUGCGAGACUGCCGGUGACAAACCGGAGGAAGGUGGGGAUGACGUCAAGUCAUCAUGCCCCUUAUGUCCAGGGCUACACACGUGCUACAUUGGCGCGUACAGAGGGCUGCGAUGCCGCGAGGCGGAGCGAAUCCCUUAAAGCGCGUCUCGGUUCGGAUUGCAGGCUACG
rnacentral:rRNA from 1 species